UGUCGAUACGCAGCUGUCCAUUCUCGGC
rnacentral:sRNA from 1 species